GAUGAACGCUGGCGGCGUGCCUAAUACAUGCCAGUCGAGCGAACAGACGAGGAGCUUGCUCCUCUGACGUUAGCGGCGGACGGGUGAGUAACACGUGGAUAACCUACCUAUAAGACUGGGAUAACUUCGGGAAACCGGAGCUAAUACCGGAUAAUAUAUUGAACCGCAUGGUUCAAUAGUGAAAGACGGUUUUGCUGUCACUUAUAGAUGGAUCCGCGCCGCAUUAGCUAGUUGGUAAGGUAACGGCUUACCAAGGCAACGACGCGUAGCCGACCUGAGAGGGUGAGCGGCCACACUGGAACUGAGACACGGUCCAGACUCCUACGGGAGGCAGCAGUAGGGAAUCUUCCGCAAUGGGCGAAAGCUUGACGGAGCAACGCCGCGUGAGUGAUGAAGGUCUUCGGAUCGUAAAACUCUGUUAUUAGGGAAGAACAAAUGUGUAAGUAACUAUGCACGUCUUGACGGUACCUAAUCAGAAAGCCACGGCUAACUACGUG
rnacentral:rRNA from 1 species